rnacentral:rRNA from 1 species
CCCUUAGAGUUUGAUCCUGGCUCAGGAUGAACGCUAGCUACAGGCUUAACACAUGCAAGUCGAGGGGAAACGACAUCGAAAGCUUGCUUUUGAUGGGCGUCGACCGGCGCACGGGUGAGUAACGCGUAUCCAACCUGCCCAUCACUUGGGGAUAACCUUGCGAAAGUAAGACUAAUACCCAAUGAUAUCUCUAGAAGACAUCUGAAAGAGAUUAAAGAUUUAUCGGUGAUGGAUGGGGAUGCGUCUGAUUAGCUUGUUGGCGGGGUAACGGCCCACCAAGGCGACGAUCAGUAGGGGUUCUGAGAGGAAGGUCCCCCACAUUGGAACUGAGACACGGUCCAAACUCCUACGGGAGGCAGCAGUGAGGAAUAUUGGUCAAUGGACGAGAGUCUGAACCAGCCAAGUAGCGUGCAGGAUGACGGCCCUAUGGGUUGUAAACUGCUUUUAUAAGGGAAUAAAGUGAGUCUCGUGAGACUUUUUGCAUGUACCUUAUGAAUAAGGACCGGCUAAUUCCGUGCCAGCAGCCGCGGUAAUACGGAAGGUCCGGGCGUUAUCCGGAUUUAUUGGGUUUAAAGGGAGCGUAGGCCGGAGAUUAAGCGUGUUGUGAAAUGUAGACGCUCAACGUCUGCACUGCAGCGCGAACUGGUUUCCUUGAGUACGCACAAAGUGGGCGGAAUUCGUGGUGUAGCGGUGAAAUGCUUAGAUAUCACGAAGAACUCCGAUUGCGAAGGCAGCUCACUGGAGCGCAACUGACGCUGAAGCUCGAAAGUGCGGGUAUCGAACAGGAUUAGAUACCCUGGUAGUCCGCACGGUAAACGAUGGAUGCCCGCUGUUGGUCUGAAUAGGUCAGCGGCCAAGCGAAAGCAUUAAGCAUCCCACCUGGGGAGUACGCCGGCAACGGUGAA